CAAUAAGCGGAGGAAAAGAAACCAACAGGGAUUGCCUCAGUAACGGCGAGUGAAGCGGCAACAGCUCAAAUUUGAAAUCUGGCCCCCAGGCCCGAGUUGUAAUUUGUAGAGGAUGAUUCUGGCGACGCGCCUUCCGAGUUCCCUGGAACGGGACGCCAUAGAGGGUGAGAGCCCCGUACGGUCGUGCGCCUAGCCUCUGUGAAUCUCCUUCGACGAGUCGAGUAGUUUGGGAAUGCUGCUCUAAAUGGGAGGUAUACGUCUUCUAAAGCUAAAUACCGGCCAGAGACCGAUAGCGCACAAGUAGAGUGAUCGAAAGAUGAAAAGCACUUUGAAAAGAGGGUUAAAAAGUACGUGAAAUUGCUGAAAGGGAAGCGCUUAUGACCAGACUUGGGCGUGGUGAAUCAUCCGGCGUUCUCGCCGGUGCACUUUGCCUGUCCAGGCCAGCAUCAGUUCGUCCCGGGGGAUAAAGGCUUCGGGAAUGUAGCUCUUUCGGGAGUGUUAUAGACCGUUGCGUAAUACCCUGGGGUGGACUGAGGUACGCGUUCUGCAAGGAUGCUGGCGUAAUGGUCAUCAGUGACCCGUCUUGAAACACGGACCAAGGAGUCGUCUUCGUAUGCGAGUGUUCGGGUGUCAAACCCCUACGCGUAAUGAAAGUGAACGUAGGAGAGAGCUUCGGCGCAUCUCCGACCGAUCCUGAUGUUCUCGGAUGGAUUUGAGUAAGAGCAUACGGGGCCGGACCCGAAAGAAGGUGAACUAUGCCUGUAUAGGGUGAAGCC
rnacentral:rRNA from 1 species